AACGAACGCUGGCGGCAGGCUUAACACAUGCAAGUCGAACGCCCCGCAAGGGGAGUGGCAGACGGGUGAGUAACGCGUGGGAAUCUACCUAGUUCUACGGAACAACUGAGGGAAACUUCAGCUAAUACCGUAUACGCCCUACGGGGGAAAGAUUUAUCGGAAUUAGAUGAGCCCGCGUAAGAUUAGGUAGUUGGUGGGGUAAUGGCCUACCAAGGCGACGAUCUUUAGCUGGUCUGAGAGGAUGAUCAGCCACACUGGGACUGAGACACGGCCCAGACGCCUACGGGAGGCAGCAGUGGGGAAUAUUGGACAAUGGGCGCAAGCCUGAUCCAGCCAUGCCGCGUGAGUGAUGAAGGCCUUAGGGUUGUAAAGCUCUUUCAGUGGGGAAGAUAAUGACGGUACCCACAGAAGAAGCCCCGGCUAACUUCGUGCCAGCCGCCGCUGUAACAC
rnacentral:rRNA from 1 species